UUCCCGAUGGCUCAGUGGUAAAGAAUCUGGCUGCAAUGCAGAAGACUCAGGAGACCCAGGUUCCAUCCCUGGGUCGGGACG
rnacentral:tRNA from 1 species